rnacentral:rRNA from 1 species
AGAACGAACGCUGGCGGCAGGCUUAACACAUGCAAGUCGAACGCCCCGCAAGGGGAGUGGCAGACGGGUGAGUAACGCGUGGGAAUCUACCCAGUUCUACGGAAUAACACAGGGAAACUUGUGCUAAUACCGUAUACGCCCUACGGGGGAAGAUUUAUCGGGAUUGGAUGAGCCCGCGUUGGAUUAGCUAGUUGGUGGGGUAAUGGCCUACCAAGGCGACGAUCCAUAGCUGGUCUGAGAGGAUGAUCAGCCACACUGGGACUGAGACACGGCCCAGACUCCUACGGGAGGCAGCAGUGGGGAAUAUUGGACAAUGGGCGCAAGCCUGAUCCAGCCAUGCCGCGUGAGUGAUGAAGGCCUUAGGGUUGUAAAGCUCUUUCAGUGGGGAAGAUAAUGACGGUACCCACAGAAGAAGCCCCGGCUAACUUCGCGCCAGCAGCCGC